GUCCGGCUGCUGCAGAGAGCGGCAGUCCGCAGCAUCCCCGUGGAGAGCCCCGCUUAGCGGCGAGCCCGGGUUAGCGCUGAGCCCCGCUUAGCGGUGAGUCCGCCCGCACCUCCCCUGUCACUCACAGGAUCAGCAGCCCGUAGCCCUCGUCGCGAUAGUCCCGAUAGGCUUUCCAGGGUUUGAUCUCCAGGCGCUGCGGGCAGGAGCUCUCCCGGCGGUACAGAGAUUCCAGCAGGCAGGGGGCUCCGAUGUGAACCGAGUCGAAAGCCCCCAGCUUCAUUCGGAAGAUCUUCCCAAACCUUCUGUGGUACUCAGCCUGGGGGGUGCAGAAUAGAAUCCCCCACGAUGAGCGUGGGGCGCACCCGCCUCGACCCUCAUCCCCGCCCCGCAGCAUCCCCAUCCCUGAGUGCUCACCAGCGUCUCGUGCUGCCUCUUGAGCCCCCCCUUCCAGAGCACGUCGGGCAGGCUGCCCAUCAACGGCCAGCUGGGGGGCCCGGGCAGCGCGGCCAGGGGAUGCCCACGGCCCCGCAGUGCGCACAGCGCGGACGCCGCCCGCGGCACCGAACCUCCGCGCCCGGCGGGGAUGAGCGCGGCGCGGCCGCAGGUGAGGGCGGAGGAGCGGAGAAGGAUGCUGCAGCCUCCCAUAGCGGCACCGACGGCCGCCCAUUUGCCACUGGCAGCAGAGGAGCAGUCUGACAGAGUGGUGUCUGACAUGGAAGUGCAUGUGAAGCAACAGAGGGCCACUGAAUUCCUCCAUGCGGACAAAAAUGGCACCCAUUGGUAUUCAUCAACGUUUGCUGAACACUUAUGGUGACCAAACAGUGGAUAUCAGCACAGUGAGGUGGCGGUGGUGCGUUUCAGCGGUGGUGACAGUGUUGUGAAAGACAAGCCAUGUUCCGGAUGGCCAUGUACAACUGUCACAACAUGAAAUAAACAGCAUCUCAAUCAGAUCGUCCAUAUGAAUCAGCUACUGGUGGUGACUAUGUUGAAAAACAGUGUUUUGUAGCUGGGAAUUUAUUCUAUCAAAUAGUGUUAUUGUGCUCUUUGUUGUAGUUUCCAUUGAAAUAAAUAGGAGGCGUUGCUUUUGGAGCAACCUAUUUAUAUGAACAUACAAGAGGGUUUGGAUGGUGAUGGUGGUGUUGACUAACAGAAGGGAUUUUCUUUCUCUGAAAGAACAAGAUUAAAAAAUUGGAGCAAAUCUGCCUCCUUUACCUCAGAUCAGAAAAGAAUGGAAAACAGCAGGGUGGCCAAGGAUUUGUCCUGUAAAUGCUUAAGAUCUGUAUUGUUAGGAGCUGGUAUGUCCUUUUGGAGAAGAACACCCUUAGAAGGAGAUUUUUUAAAGGAUUUUUUUCCCCAUCUCUCUUCCCCCCCCCCCCCCCCACUACAAGAAGGGCAGAUGUAGACAUCCUGACAUAAAAUAACUUUAUAUCAGAAUAAGUCAUAUUAUCUAAUAUUGGAAACACCAUGCUGCUAUUAGCACUAUGCCUACAUGAUAAGGAAAGUGAGCCACUUCAUUUUUAUUGACCCUGCUAAAAUUGUACAGCUUUGUGAGGCUUUUGAUGGUAGCGAUUCAUUUCAUAAAAUCUAUGCCUACACAAACCAA